rnacentral:piRNA from 3 species
CAUAAUCUGAAGGUCGUGAGUUC